rnacentral:lncRNA from 1 species
AGGCAGACCUGGUCCAUCUUGGGCUCUGCCAUCUUCUGGCCCCGCGGUCUUAGCCAAGCCCUUGUCUUGGAUUUCCUGAGCGUCAGUGCCCACCCUGGAGGGCUGUUGUGGUGUGACACACCCAGUAAUGAGCGCCCGUACCCUGGGGAAGUGCCGCCCGCCAUCGCCCUGCUUGGAGUCCAGCUUCCUGGGAAGUAGGGGCAGAACCGCCCAGUGCCCAGAGCAGCCACACGUGCACCUGGGUGUCCGCCUGCAUCCAGGUCACACGCCGAGCCUCAGCGGCCACACGCUCCUACUAGAGCCAGGAAGACCCAGGAGGACGGUGGCGCUGUCCACUUCUCUGCCGUCAGGGAUGGCUGCCGGUCGCUUUGGGGGGGCUGCCACCUUUCCAAGUGAGACGUGCAGAUACUUCAACGUCUGUUUUUUCCCAAUGUGCUGCUUCUCCCAGUGUGACUCCUUAUAACAAGGGAAGCUUCUCCUGUCUCCCAGCCUGCGUGUGCCCAUGCCUCGUGGAUCGCUGGCAUCAGAACUGGCCUCUGCUCCACCAGAGCAGACAGAGGGAGCUAUGAGAAUCAGGCACCCGGGCAGCUUUCUGGACUCUGCGAGCAGCCUGGACCCACCCUGGUGUCCCCCGGUAUGGCGCUGGGUCCCCUCGUGGGAAGCACAAGGCCACCAAGGAGGGUGGAUGUCUGAACAAAUGGAAAAUGGAAGGCUUUUUGGAAAGGAGAGGGUGAGGGCAAAAGGUCGGGACAGCGUCCAGCAGCAUCUGCGUCAGCCAGCCUGGGCCCUCUGGGCCACGGAGCCUUCACCAUGGAAUGGAUUCUGCCGGCUCUAGCAACAAUGGCAGCCAGCACGGGCUGAGCCCUGGCUCUUCUAAGUGCUUUGCUGCAUGAAGUCACUGAAUUCCCAAAGGAAACCCACGAAGCCAGCGCCCCAGCGGCCCGCAUUGGCCCGGCAGAGAAGAGAGGCAGGAGCGCGGCCCAGGCCCACAGCUGACAGGGGCGGGAGCUGCGUCCGGCUUGGUAGCCUGGCUCCGGCGUCCUUGCCUGAACCGCUGGGCCACGCUAGAGCCUGUCCAGGGAAGGCGUCGAGGCCGACUCUGCCCCAGCACGUGUGUCAGCUUGUCGUGCCCACGGGCAGACCCUCCUCACCUCAGAGAGCAGGCUGUCCCUGCCGUCGCCCGUGAGGGAGAGGAGCUGCUUGUCCAACCACAGGGUCAUCUUGUUAGUCAUCUCCGGGGAGCCUCUGGGGCAGGGGUGCCAGGGCACGUUGGCAUCUCUUGCGGGCCUCCUGCCCUGCGUGGCUCCCCCUCUUCAUCUCCUUUGUUCCCGUCUGCCCUGAGGAGCCCCAGGGCCAUCCUGGGGUGGUGGCCAGUGUGGCACCUGGGACUUCACUGUUCACGUCCCGAGGUGAGAAUCUGCCAGGGAACAAAGGGACGACGGAAGCCAGGCUCCAGCGCGUUGCCAGGCUGACUGCUGUGUCACCGACGCUCCCACACCCGGGAAGGCGGAAGUGAAGGAAGGGAGCCCACCCUCCUGGGUGCUGGUGGCAGGCCAUGUGCAGGGACUUCGGGGAAAGGGAGCCUGGUGACCGAUGAGGAGACACUGCGUUGUAAAUGUCACGGCCCGUCCCUUCCCCCUGCUGCACACAGAGAACUAUUCUCAGUUGAGGGCUGGACUUCAGGAAUGUACAGUUGAGUUAAAGAAGCGUAAGAACAAGCAGAGCCCAGGCUGUGGGCUCUCCCACAGUCACCCUCCAGGUCUGGGGAGUCAAAAGGAAAGAAGUGGAAGGCUCGGGCGUCGGGUGGGGGAACACGUGGUCCAUCCAGCCAGCUGUGGCUAGCGCCUGUCGGACACCGAGCCUUCCGCUCAGGUUUCCUGGGUUUGCUGUGGUGCCUUGGAGUCUAAUAGAUGCAGCCUUAGCCAUGUCAGAAGCAGAGAGUAAAACAUUACAGGUGCUAAGUCGCUUGCUUGCUCUGAAAUGGCCUCAUGGAGAAGGGACAGAAGUAAUGGGUUCAUUGUCUGAGACAGGGGGACGUCCUUUAAAAGAAGAAAUCUAAAAAAUUGCUGAGAGGAAACAGAGAAAUGGUUGUUAGAAUACCACCCUUUCUUAAACAUACCUAACGUGGCGACGCCGCAUCUGAGUUGAGGAAUAUUGGAAGGCGGCCUUUGCCUGAUCAAAAGGCCAGGCCAGACCCAGCCACCUCCAGGCUUUUGGUUGACUGUAGUUUCCUCGGCUCUGCACCGGUGCACGGAUAUGACUUACCUGUUGCAGAGGUAUUUGGACACAUCUCCUCUCUCAGCUGGAGGAAAUGUUAGCAUAUCACAGAGCUGUUGGGACAGAUUGGAUCUGUGGCACUUCUUCCUCCCCGCACAGAGCCUGUCAGUCACACCCAGGGUGGUGAUUGAUAAUGUCACAGCUUUUCUCAGUGUGUCUCUGUGCAGCUAAAUGAAGAGUAGUGCUUACAUUUUGAUCUAGAGAAUCUCACACCACAAAACAAUCAGUUGCCAUUGCACACACAAAAAAUUAUGUUGAAAAUAGUUCUAUCCUAGGACAUAUUUUUGGUUGCUCUAUUAUUAAUUUGCUUACUAAAGCCUUCGUGAGGAAACCACAGCAAAGAUCCUGCUACGGAGUUUGUAGUUAUUUCAGACUAAGUUUAUCUGCACAUGGCAAAUUCAUAGCACAGACACAGUCUGUGGGAUCAAUGUCCGAAACGGUGGUGUCAGGGUACAGCUUAGAGCUCCCCCGGCCCUGGCUGGCUUGCACAUGUGUCUGAGUGACCCCAGCAAGUGGGCGUCCCAGGAGACUGCUUCUUCUCUGUGACCAUUGGGAAGGGGCAUUGCAGUACCAUUGGGACCUGCGUGAGAAUAAAGACAAAGUGAA